rnacentral:rRNA from 1 species
CCUACGGGGGGCUGCAGUGAGGAAUAUUGGUCAAUGGGCGCAAGCCUGAACCAGCCAUCCCGCGUGAAGGAAGAAGGCGCUAUGCGUUGUAAACUUCUUUUCCAGGGGAAUAAAAUUUCGUACGAGUACGGGACUGAAGGUACCUUGGGAAUAAGCAUCGGCUAACUCCGUGCCAGCAGCCGCGGUAAUACGGAGGAUGCGAGCGUUAUCCGGAUUUAUUGGGUUUAAAGGGUGCGUAGGCGGAAAAAUAAGUCAGUGGUGAAAACCUUCAGCUUAACUGGAGACUUGCCAUUGAUACUGUUAUUCUUGAGUAUAGUUAAGGUAGGCGGAAUGUGUAAUGUAGCGGUGAAAUGCUUAGAUAUUACACAGAACACCAAUUGCGAAGGCAGCUUACUGAGCUAUAACUGACGCUGAUGCACGAAAGCGUGGGGAGCGAACAGGAUUAGAUACCCCAGUAGUC